AUCUCUACAGGUAAUUGUGAGA
rnacentral:miRNA from 1 species